CACAGGCACCCGCGAGGACGAGGACGAGGCCGCGGACGUGCAAGGGGCUGCGUGUCUCCUGCCACACGCCCGUCGGGGCAGGUGCUGGGUGUGCAUCGGGGUCGGUAACCGGGUCAGGCUGCGCGACCCGCUGAGAGGAACGGGCCCUCCCGCCUGCGGGACCGGGCGUGUCCUGUGUCCCCGAGGCCAGCAAGCGGGCGCCACGGCACUCCGAGGACGCGGCCUGAACUACACACGUGCCUUGGGCUAAACACGUGUCCUCCAGGGACCGAGAGCCGCCCCACCGCGUGACAGUGACACACCCCACGGAUGCCGCAGCGUCCCUCCCCCGCGUGACCGGGGGCCAGCCGGUCACCUCCCCUCCGCCCCACACCGUCCCUCCCGCCCUCCUGCAGCAGGACCCCGGGCCUCAGCCUGGACUGGAACCUGAGCACCAGCCCCCCGGGGCCUCGCCGGCCCCCCAGGCCCCCAACCCCGCGCUGAGCGGCUGGGCGCUGCCCCCAAAGCGGGCGGCACACGCCCCAUCAGUCUCAUGAGGAGAAUCGGACCCCGCAAAGUCAGGCCGCAGCCCAUUACGUUUGACACAAGGACCUGGUCUUGUUGCACGUGGUGGAGACGUGUGUGCAGCAUGUGCCAACGCGGCCGCCCUGGACCCCAGAUGGAGGGCGGUCCCCACCAGCUCAGUUCACAGAGGAUGACGGGUGACCCAGAAGGGCUCCCUGUGCGCGCGAUGCCCUCCAUGCCUGAGACCGAUGACGAGCUGGGGGCGUCGGGGCCAUGUCAGGGCCACGGUCUGCAGGCGGCGUCACCAUCCACCUGCCCGGGGACACGUGGCUGCCCUGUCUGCACACGCGGGUGUCCUGUCUGCACAUAUGACUCCCCUGCCUGCACACGCGGGGACCAUGCUUGCACACAGCUGCCCUGUCUGCACACGCAUCUGGGGUUCAGGGGUGAAAGGUCGGGGUCUCCUCCUCCACUUCAAUCCGCCGGUCUUGGUUCUCAUGACGCCGUUGAGAAAACGCUUUGGGACGAUUUUAGAACUUGAUGAAGCCUCCUGGGUUUUGAAUUCUGGACUCAUCAGGACUAUUUUGGAGUUUGAUUUGGUUUAUUCUCAAGAGAAAACAAAGCCCAGUUUCCUGUUUUGAAAUAAAUUCUUUCAUAAACUU